rnacentral:rRNA from 1 species
UACGAAGGGGGCUAGCGUUGCUCGGAAUCACUGGGCGUAAAGCGCACGUAGGCGGCUUCUUAAGUCAGGGGUGAAAUCCUGGAGCUCAACUCCAGAACUGCCUUUGAUACUGAAGAUCUUGAGUUCGGGAGAGGUGAGUGGAACUGCGAGUGUAGAGGUGAAAUUCGUAGAUAUUCGCAAGAACACCAGUGGCGAAGGCGGCUCACUGGCCCGAUACUGACGCUGAGGUGCGAAAGCGUGGGGAGCAAACAGG